ensembl:lncRNA
CUGAUGCUAGCUCCCUGUUAGCUGUUAGCUGGACUACGAUCGUAUUAAAGGUUGAAGGAGCGGAUGAUUUAUUAUUAGCGUCUCUUUUCUCGUCUGUACUUGUUCAUGUACAACAGUCACAGGUCUGCUAGUCGUCGCUGGUGCUGACCUGUUUGUUGACUUUAAGCUCUCACAACAAGGCAAAAGAUAUAAAAAGUAAUGAGGACAUAAUGAAGUAUAAAAGCUUAACUGUAACUCUCAGCUAAAUACAUUGACUCAAAUACUUCACUUCAGGACACAUUUAAGGGCAGAGCAACGUGUAGCGUGUGUACAGUAAAUACAGCCGACUGUUAGCUGAGAAUAAAUCAAGGCGACAACGAUAACCUCCAUCUUUAAUUUGAGGGUGUUCACAUCACAUCAGAAAAAACAGCAGGAACAGUCUCUCAUGUUUCUGUUCUGUCAUGUUUCUGUGUAACAGAGAUGUCGGAUACUUCAGAGAAAAAGUGGAAACCAACUCUGACUAAAAUCCUGGAGGAGCUGGACAACAAACAGUACAGAAAGACAAUGGAAUAUUUGGACAAAGUUCCCAAAGGUCAGAAGAAAGGCAGAUCUUUUGCAACGAUGGCCCAAAAAAUAAUUGAGCGCUACGGACAUGACGAAUCAAUUUCUACAAUACAUAAAAUCAUGGAAGAGAUACCGAGGAAGGAUCCGAGGAUGCAGGAACUGUUGGGCCCCUUUGUUGAAGAACUGAGGAGCAAAAAUGAAAAAGGGAGAAAAGGAAAGAAGAGAAAGUGUGAUUCAGUGGAGAAGGAAGACAAUCCUCCAGCAGAGAUGUCGGAUACUUCAGAGAAAAAGUGGAAAGCAACUCUGACUAAAAUCCUGGAGGAGCUGGACAACAAACAGUACAGAGAGACGAUGGAAUAUUUGGACAAAAUCCCCGGAAGUCAGAAGAAAGGCAGAUCUGAAGCAACGAUGGCCCAAAAAAUCAUUGAGCGCUACGGACAUGAUGAAUCAAUUUCUGCAAUACAUAAUAUCAUGGAAGAGAUACCGAGGAAGGAUCCAAGGAUGCAGGAACUGUUGGGCCCCUUUGUCGAAGAACUGAGCAGCAAAAAUGAAAAAGGGAGAAAAGGAAAGAAGAGAAAGUGUGAUCCAGUGGAGAAGGAAGACAAUCCUCCAGCAGGAAAGAAGAGGAAAUGUGAUCAAGUGGAGAAGAAGAAGAAAAAGCCUGCAGAAGGUCAAAAGAGCAGCCAGCCUGUCAAGGAGACAAACGCUGAUCGUUGGAAGAAAUCCAUCCGUGAGCUGAAGUCCAGCAGUGCACUUCUUGACACUGAUGGCAUUGUUGGGAAAGUUGUUCAGAAAUCUGGUGUGCGCAGUUAUCGAACCAAAGAAAAUGUUAAAAAGUAUUUUUUUUAUCUGGCAGUCGCUGAUGAGACGGCCAGCAUGAAAUUGAUGGUGUAUGGAAAACCAUUCUAUAAACAAAUCAUGGAAGAGAAGACCUACAUGUUCAGGCAGCUAACCAAAGAUGAGAACGUUUUUAAGUUUCGCUCACAGAGUAAAUACUCAGAGACGAAACCUGUUCAAGUUCCAGACGAGCUUGAGACGGAAGCUCGGGAGCUGAUUUAUCCCAAGAGUCCAGAAUACUCCAUUGCUGAAGCCAAACUGUCUACUGACAUCCGUGUGACUGUUACAGGAACCAUUACAAAGAUUGAUCCCAUCGAACCAGCUACAGGGAAGACAAAACAGAAGACGACGCAGCGUUUCCAGAUAAAAGACGACACCGACUCCAUCAGCAUCUGCAUGUGGGGUGAAGACACCAGGCAGUGCAAAGGAUUAUCAGUGGGUGAUGUCAUCCAGGCUACCAACAUGAAGACCAACCGGUACUAUGGCACAAUCUCGCUGAACUCAACUGGAUUCACCAAAAUUCAGAAGGUUCAAAGUGGCAGCCAGAGUGAGAGAAUUGAAAUUGAAGGAAUCGCAAAAGCCACAAAGAAGGAGACUCACCUGGACGCAUUUUUCAGAGACGAGAUGCACAGGUGUGUUGUGGCUUCUCCACUUCUGGCAAAGGCUUUUGGCUUCAAACUGGAGGGUGAUAUAAAAGAAAAGCUCCUUGACAUCAUUCCAAUGUCAGCAGACGCAGUAAUACAAGGAGGUCAAAUAAAAGAACUCACAGCCGCUCCAGUGAAAUAA